UACGGAGGGGGCUAGCGUUGUUCGGAAUUACUGGGCGUAAAGCGCGCGUAGGCGGCUUUGUAAGUUAGAGGUGAAAGCCCGGAGCUCAACUCCGGAACUGCCUUUAAGACUGCAUCGCUAGAAUUGUGGAGAGGUGAGUGGAAUUCCGAGUGUAGAGGUGAAAUUCGUAGAUAUUCGGAAGAACACCAGUGGCGAAGGCGACUCACUGGCCCGGUACUGACGCUGAGGUGCGAAAGCGUGGGGAGCAAACAGG
rnacentral:rRNA from 1 species